rnacentral:rRNA from 1 species
CUUCGGGUGAGCGGCGGACGGGUUAGUAACGCGUGGGAACAUACCCUUUUCUACGGAAUAGCCUCGGGAAACUGAGAGUAAUACCGUAUAAGCCCUUCGGGGGAAAGAUUUAUCGGGAAAGGAUUGGCCCGCGUUAGAUUAGAUAGUUGGUGGGGUAAUGGCCUACCAAGUCUACGAUCUAUAGCUGGUUUUAGAGGAUGAUCAGCAACACUGGGACUGAGACACGGCCCAGACUCCUACGGGAGGCAGCAGUGGGGAAUCUUAGACAAUGGGCGCAAGCCUGAUCUAGCCAUGCCGCGUGUGUGAUGAAGGUCUUAGGAUCGUAAAGCACUUUCGCCAGGGAUGAUAAUGACAGUACCUGGUAAAGAAACCCCGGCUAACUCCGUGCCAGCAGCCGCGGUAAUACGGAGGGGGUUAGCGUUGUUCGGAAUUACUGGGCGUAAAGCGUACGUAGGCGGAUUGGAAAGUUGGGGGUGAAAUCCCAGGGCUCAACCCUGGAACUGCCUCCAAAACUAUCAGUCUAGAGUUCGAGAGAGGUGAGUGGAAUUCCAAGUGUAGAGGUGAAAUUCGUAGAUAUUUGGAGGAACACCAGUGGCGAAGGCGGCUCACUGGCUCGAUACUGACGCUGAGGUACGAAAGUGUGGGGAGCAAACAGGAUUAGAUACCCUGGUAGUCCACACCGUAAACGAUGAAUGCCAGUCGUCGGGCAGUAUACCUGUUCGGUGACACACCUAACGGAUUAAGCAUUCCGCCUGGGGGAGUACGGUCGCAAGAUUAAAACUCAAAGGAAAUUGACGGGGGCCCGCACAAGCGGUGGAAGCAUGUGGUUUAAUUCGAAGCAACGCGCAGAACCUUACCAACCCUUGACAUCCUGUG